rnacentral:rRNA from 1 species
GAUGAACGCUGGCGGCGUGCCUAAUACAUGCAAGUCGAGCGAACAGACGAGGAGCUUGCUCCUUUGACGUUAGCGGCGGACGGGUGAGUAACACGUAGGUAACCUACCUAUAAGACUGGGAUAACUUCGGGAAACCGGAGCUAAUACCGGAUAAUAUUUCGAACCGCAUGGUUCGAUAGUGAAAGAUGGCUUUGCUAUCACUUAUAGAUGGACCUCGGCCGUAUUAGGUGGUUGGUAGGGUAACGGCUUUCCAAGGCAAGGAUACGUAGACGACGUGAGAGGGUGGUCGGCCACACUAGAACGGAGACGCGGUCCAUACUCCUACGGGAGGCAGCAGUAGGGAAUCGGACGCAGCAGGCGAAAGCCUUACGGAGCGACGCCAAGUGAGUGAUAGAAAUCUUCGGAUCGGAAAACUCUGUUAUUAGGGAAGAACAAACUUGUAAGUAACUGUGCACGGCUUGACGGUACCGAAUCAGAAAGCCACGGCUAACUACGUG